rnacentral:lncRNA from 1 species
GCAGUUGUUUUUCUGCAGAAAAUCAUCAACUGUGGAGAAGAAGAAGGGAAAUAAGAAAGAAAGAAAACCCUAAAAACCACCCUGGCGCCCGGGCCCGCAGGCCUCGGGCCGGCUCUGAAAAGUUUGGGCUGUGCACGUGAUGAGCGCGUAGGCGGGAGCCCCAGACAGGACCCGGGCGGGCAUUUCGAGAAAAAGCAGCGGUGACAGCCUUUGGUCCCCAUCUCCAUUGUUCCUGCCAGCUCUGGACCCCAGGCUGCAUGAGACGUAGGUCCCAGGGGACACCCGACCCCGUGGCCCCAGUCUUAGGGACCUCAGAUCCUUUACAUGUGUUAUCUGGACUGAAUGGAGAAACCCAAGACCCACCAUGGUGGAGGGACAACUGAAGUCCUUAGUGACCCAGUGAGUCAUAGUACCAGGAUCAAAGACCCUCCACUGGGAAGGAGGCAGUUGGUGUAAUGACAAGUACAGUUCCUUCUGUUGCACUUUGCCUGAAAGCGUGCGAUGCUGACAUCUCAAACUUGUCAGAAAAUCCACUAUCCCUGUGAAUUCUGUUUUAUUUCCUGUCAACACUUGGCUGAAACACUUGGGAAAGUAAUUUUAUUUUACAUCAUAAAUAUAAAUAUUCAAUUCUUAGUUUCAUUUAUGUUUCUGUGAAGGCUGCUAUUAAUGACCAAAUAGGAUGUUAGAAAGCCCAGAAAUGGGUGUUAUUAGGAACGAGCUAGAAAGCAGUGUUGGUUUUAGCAGUAAGCCCGGUGUUUCUGAGAUAAAUUAGUUCCUGUUACUUGGAAUAGUGCAAGCCAUUGUGAAAAUUUGCCUUGACAUUCCCCUUUCUCAUUUGUCCCUCAAUCCCUUCAGUCUAGUUUGGGGUCUCUAUAAUCCUGCUCCUUUGGCUGCCAGCCAUCUCCAUAAAAAAAGAAUUUGAAAGGCUUCCAUUCUUUCAGAGACCUGUUUCCCGGGACUGGCUGCAAGGGAGAGAUGCACUGACCUUCUGCCAGGAAUCCUAGAGUUCCUUGGAGAGGAUAUGAAGGUUAUUCUCAGGCCAUGCAGAUGGGCAAGAAAGGAUGUGCGUCCAUGGUUCCUCUUCAAAUCCAACCAAAACAGCCUUGCUUCCGUUGGCUUUAUAUAAUACUGCAACUCUUGAUAAUCUGAUUUAACACAAAUUUCCUCAUUGAGUUUCUCCUCAUGAAGAAACGGCCUCAGUGAGGUAAAUCGGAAUGCACAGGAGCACAUAGCAGGUUAGUGCAGACCAGAAAUCAAACCCAGGCUUUCUGACUGCUCAAUAGACCACAAUCUACCAUGCUACCAUGGAAACUUUAAAACAGAUGAAAGUAAAAACAAACAAACAACAACUUAAAAAAACAAAAACAAAAACAAAAGCAAAACCCAGAGCCUCUCUAGGAAAUACCAACGUGCUUUUGCCAAGUGGGGUUUCUCUCACUUCAUAAGAGCAGUAAACACUAAACCAAGGGAAUGUGAAUUUAGAGGUUAGAAAAGAUAACCAGAGAUUUGGCCGUGCGUGGGGCUCAUGCCUGUAAUCCCAGCACUUUGGGAGGCUGAGGCUGGUGGGUUGCCUGAGGUCAGGAGUUUGAGACCAGCCUGGCCAACAUAGUGAAACCCUGUCUCUACUAAAAAUACAAAAAUUAGCUGGGUGUGGUGGCGUGCACCUGUAAUCCCAGCUACUAGGGAGGCUGAGGCAGGAGAAUCGCUUGAACUGGAGAGGUGGAGGUUGCAGUGAGCCGAGAUGGUGCCAUUGCACUCCAGCCCGGGCAAGAAGAUUGAAAUUCCAUCUCAAAAAAAAAAAAAAAAGAAGAAGAAGAAGAAAAGAUGCCAGAGAUUUGGCGGGGUGCCGGGCUCAUGCCUGUAAUCCCAGCACUUUGGGAGGCCAAAUGGACAGAUCACUUAAAGUUAGGAGUUCCAGAAAAGAUGCCAGAGGUUGGGCCUUUACAUUGUUUUGUAAAUUCGUCAAACCUUAAUCUUAUUUAACUUCCCCACCUAUACAAAAAUUAAUGCAGUAAUUGCUUUUUAAGGAAGCAUUCCAAAGGCCAAAUAAUUCAUAUAUGUCAAGUACCCUGGGAUUCAGGAAAGAAAAAUUCUCUAUAGCUCUAAAGCAAGGAUUAUAAUUUGAGGUUUCCUGACAGUUUUUUUUAAGAAAAGAAAUACCAACCUUUCUUUUCUGGGCCAAAUGCCAAGGUAGGUAAUAACCCCUUGCCCAUUUUCUUUCCCCAAGCUGUUUUAACUAGAUAAGAGCUCUGCCUUCAUUUCCUUUUGUGAACUGACUUGGGAUGUUGCCACAUGCCCUUCAACUACUGUCAAUGCUCUAGUUUGCUGAGUGCUUUCCCCUUCAGAAUGGAAAAGGUUUUGGCAUAAAUAUCUAGCUUUCUUCAAGGUACAAAAUGCUUUCCAAGGAGCAGAGGACAGAGGGAACAAACUUUCAUGUUUCCCAAUUGUAUUAGUCUGUUCUCAUGCUGCUAAUAAAGACAUACCCAAGACUGUGUAAUUUAUAAAGGAAAAAGGUUUUACUGACUCACAGUUCCACAUGGCUGGGGAGGCCUCACAAUCAUGGUGGAAGAUGAAGGAAGAGCAAAGGGAUGUCUUCCAUGGCCAGCAAAAAGAGAAUGAAAGCCAAGGGAAGGAGAAAACACCUUAUAAAAUCAUCAGAUCUCAUGAGACUUAUUCACUACCAUGACAACGGUAUGGGUGAACUGCCCCCAUGAUUCAGUUAUCUCCCACCGGGUCCCUCCCACAAAAUGUGGGAAUUAUGGGAGCUACAAUUCAAGAUGAGAUUUGGGUGGGGACAGAGCCAAACCAUAGCACCAAUACUAGAUCCCUCAGCUUCAAGGUGGCUCCAGUGAUCCUAAGAGGAUCAAGGAAGCCCUACCUCCCUGCUUGUCCUGGAUGUCUCUGACACAUGUUAAGGGAAAAGCAUUAAUAAAGUGCUCAAGAAACAAUUGUUCAAUAGGUCAGUCUUAUAGUCAAUACCUCAUCCCAUGCUCUGUCCCCUACUCUUUGAAAAACUGCCCAAAGAAACAAUGGAUCCACGGAGUCACAAAAACAGGGCAUCCAGUGACCCUCCCCAUCUUACCAGCAAUGUGACUUUCCCACAGUAUAACGACAGCAGUGCCCAGAGCCCAAUACAAGCAGGGCUCUACACUGAGACAGAGCUGAGUUCUAGUAGCAACUACCCUCCUUAUAGCAGUGUUAUUUUAGGCAAGUUUCUCAGCUUCUGGAAGGUUCUUUUCUCAGGCUUACAUACUUUUUACCCGAAAAGAUCUUGGAGUCGUCCAUAUCAGCACAAGCAAUCUACAUUAUUAGUUUUUUUAAUGGCUGCACAGCAUUCCAUGAUAUGGCUGUACCAUUACUUAACUAUCGAUGAACAUUUAGGCAGUUUCCAGUCUCUUUCUGCAGGAGCCAAUGCUGCAAUGUGGUGGGUCAUAACUUUUUCUUUUUUUCAAAUGUGGUCUCACUAUUUCUUCCAGGCUGGAGUGUAGUGGUAUGAUCACAGCUCACUGCAGCCUCGAACUCCUGGACUCAAACAAUCCUCCUGUCUCAGCCUCCAGAGCAACUGGGAGUACAGGUGUGUGCCACCAUGCCUGACUAAGUUUUUAAAUUUUUUGUAGAGAUGGGGUCUUGCUAUAUUGACCAGGCUGGUCUUGAACUUCUGGCCUCAAGAAAUCCUCCCACCUGGGCCUCCCAGAGUGCUGGGAUUACAGGAAUGCACCACUGUGCCCAGCCCUAAAUAACUAUUUUUAUUUCCCUUUCUGUAACCGCUCAUCUUUUGUGCAUUUUUCCUUGGGUAUUGGCCUUCUUAUCAAAGUUUAAGAACUGUUUAUAUAUAGGGAUUAACCCUUAGUCUGUUGUAUGAAUUGCAAAUAUACAUGUAUUUUUAUUUGUAUAUGCAAAGUUUGUCUUUUAUCUUUGUAUAUGGGAUAGUUUUCCAAACACAGUUUUAUUUUAUUUUAUUUUUCAUCUUGCAUGUCUUUCCAAAGUACCAAGCAGAGUUUUUUUAAAAGUUGUUUUAUGGCUUCUGGGUUUUUUAAGUCAUAUUUAGAAAGAUCUUUCCCACUCUGAAAUUAAAAAAAUAAAUAAAUAAAAUCUCCCAAUUAAAAAAAAUUUGUGACUUUGUUUUUCAUAUUUAAAUAUUUAUUCCAUCUGGAAUUUAUUUUAUUUUAAGCUGUAAAGUAGAGACCUCAUUUUAUUGUAUUUCUCCAUAUGGCCACCCAGUUGUUACAAUACCAUUUACUAAAUAAUACAUCAAUUG